GACGAACGCUGGCGGCGUGCUUAACACAUGCAAGUCGAACGCUGAAGCUCAGCUUUUGUUGGGUGGAUGAGUGGCGAACGGGUGAGUAACACGUGAGUAACCUGCCCCCUUCUUUGGGAUAACGCCCGGAAACGGGUGCUAAUACUGGAUAUUCACUGGUCUUCGCAUGGGGGUUGGUGGAAAGGGUUUUUCUGGUGGGGGAUGAGCUCGCGGCCUAUCAGCUUGUUGGUGGGGUGAUGGCCUACCAAGGCUUUGACGGGUAGCCGGCCUGAGAGGGUGACCGGUCACAUUGGGACUGAGAUACGGCCCAGACUCCUACGGGAGGCAGCAGUGGGGAAUAUUGCACAAUGGGCGCAAGCCUGAUGCAGCGACACCGCGUGAGGGAUGGAGGCCUUCGGGUUGUGAACCUCUUUCGCUCAUGGUCAAGCCGCAACAAUGGUUGUGGUGAGGGUAGUGGGUAAAGAAGCGCCGGCUAACUACGUG
rnacentral:rRNA from 1 species